UCCUUGGUGGUCCAGUGGUUAAGACUUUGAGAUUCCAUUUCAGAAGGCCUGGAUUUGAUCCCUGGUCAGGGAA
rnacentral:tRNA from 1 species